rfam:Gasterosteus aculeatus cont1.010366, whole genome shotgun sequence.
UGAAUGCACUUAUUGUUAGUCGCUUUGGAUAAAAGCGUCAGCUAAAUGACAUGUC